rnacentral:rRNA from 1 species
UGGAUCCAGACUUUGAUUCUGGCUCAGGAUAAACGCUGGCGGCGCACAUAAGACAUGCAAGUCGAACGGACGACUUUAACUUGUUUUACUUGUUAAAGAAGUUAGUGGCGGACUGGUGAGGAACACGUAAAUAAUCUACCUAUAAGAGGGGAACAACAGUGAGAAAUCACUGCUAAUACCGCAUAAACCAUAUUGUUCGCAUGAAUGGUAUGGAAAAGGAGCAAUCCGCUUAUAGAUGAGUUUGCGUCUGAUUAGCUAGUUGGUGUGGUAAAGGCAUACCAAGGCGACGAUCAGUAGCCGUGCUGAGAGGCAGAACGGCCACAUUGGGACUGAGAUACGGCCCAGACUCCUACGGGAGGCAGCAGUCGGGGAUAUUGCGCAAUGGAGGAAACUCUGACGCAGUGACGCCGCGUAUAGGAAGAAGGUUUUCGGAUUGUAAACUAUUGUAGACAGGGAAGAUACAAGACAGUACCUGUAAAGUAAGCCCCGGCUAACUAUGUGCCAGCAGCCGCGGUAAUACAUAGGGGGCAAGCGUUAUCCGGAAUUAUUGGGUGUAAAGGGUGCGUAGACGGGAAUUUAAGUUAGUUGUGAAAUCCCUCGGCUCAACUGAGGAACUGCAACUAAAACUGGAUUUCUUGAGUGCGGGAGAGGAAAGUGGAAUUCCUAGUGUAGCGGUGAAAUGCGUAGAUAUUAGGAGGAACACCAGUGGCGAAGGCGACUUUCUGGACCGUAACUGACGUUGAGGCACGAAAGUGUGGGGAGCAAACAGGAUUAGAUACCCUGGUAGUCCACACUGUAAACGAUGGAUACUAGGUGUAGGGGGUAUUAAGCCUUCUGUGCCGUCGCAAACGCAAUAAGUAUCCCACCUGGGGAGUACGACCGCAAGGUUGCAACUCAAAUGAAUUGACGGA